rnacentral:rRNA from 1 species
GAUGAACGCUGGCGGUAUGCUUAACACAUGCAAGUCGAACGGACUCUUCGGAGUUAGUGGCGGACGGGUGAGUAACGCGCGAGAAUCUGGCUUUGGGUUCGGGACAACCACUGGAAACGGUGGCUAAUACCGGAUGUGCCGAGAGGUAAAAGAGAAAUUGCCUGAAGAUGAGCUCGCGUCUGAUUAGCUAGUUGGUGAGGUAAAGGCUCACCAAGGCAGCGAUCAGUAGCUGGUCUGAGAGGAUGACCAGCCACACUGGGACUGAGACACGGCCCAGACUCCUACGGGAGGCAGCAGUGGGGAAUUUUCCGCAAUGGGCGAAAGCCUGACGGAGCAAUACCGCGUGAGGGAAGAAGGCUCUUGGGUUGUAAACCUCUUUUCUUAGGGAAGAACAAAAUGACGGUACCUAAGGAAUCAGCAUCGGCUAACUCCGUG